AUUGUCUCAUUAUUAGAUUCAGGCUAAAGAUUUUCACCAAAACUUUCCCCUUAAAAUUAGGCUUUUGCCACAUUAAUAGCUAUAAAAUUGGCAGUGCAAUGAAGCAGUUUCAAGCCUAGUCCACAGCUAGACACACCGGAGUUUAAAUCCAGCUCUACUACUCAUGUACUGUGAGGAAUAUUUAGUAGUUUUUGGCCUCAGCUCCCCAAUUUAUUAAAUGGAGAUAACUACAACUCAUCUCACAGGACUGUUAUGCAGAUUAAGCCGGUUAGUGUAUGGGAAGCACUUCAGUAGUACCUGGCAUUUGGCAAAUGCUCUGUGUUAACGCUACAGUUUUCAAAUAACCUUGACAGAUUUCUGUCCAGUGGCUGGUUCAGGGGGUGGGGGGAAGGGGCACAGGCUAACUAUGAAAGGCCUAGCUGAGAAUGCAAUAAAGUCCCAUUAUUGUUUUUGGAAGUUCAGAGUGUUUCCCCUCAUCCCCCCUCUUGACAGAUGGCAUCGAUUAGAGACUGAAAAGAAGAGUAGGGGUGGCACCUGCGCGCAAUCCACGGGAAAGGUUCAGAGAUGAGCUGUCUUGAUCUGACUCGCCUCUAGAGGGCGGCAGAGGUCCUAGCGGCUCUGGGCUCCAGGAGAGGGAACCCUCCCCAGCGAGCGAGGGGCUCCAUAAAGCGGGUAGGAGGUGGGCUUUACUCAGCGGAGGGAAGAGGUGUGCGAUUCUUUUUUGGGAGAUGAAGCAAAUGACCACAAGGAAUACCGACGUACAACAUCGUUUUGUGGCCUGGAAUCGAACCUGUAACAUCUCCGAGGUACCUCUGUAUCUACCUGGAGCAGACAACGCAGGCGUUUCUGACCCGUCAACUUGGUUUUCAAAUUUUUUGAUUUCAAUUUGCACAAUCCUGAAGAUGAGAAAAGACAGAGCUUGUGGUAAAGGAAAACUAGCAGGGGAUACAAGCAAAAAAAGAACAUUGCAUCUGCUGCAUUCAAAGUGCUAUAUUUUAGAAAUGUAUCAGGGAAAUAACUGGCUGAAUGUUUAAAUUUUUAUUAAAAGUAACCCUUUCUAAUGGCUGCUUGUUUAGACAAGAAUUUUUUUUACCUGUGUGUAUUUUCCAAAAUCAUUCAAAAAAUUAUUGGGGGGUGUUCCCAUCCCCCAAUUUAUUACUAGUAAUAAUGAAUCUGACUAGUAUCCAUG